rnacentral:tRNA from 1 species
UGGCUCAAUGGUAAAGAGUCUGCCUGCAAUGCAGGAGACCCAGGUUUAAUCCCUGG